rnacentral:rRNA from 1 species
UACGGAGGGAGCUAGCGUUGUUCGGAAUUACUGGGCGUAAAGCGCACGUAGGCGGCUUUGUAAGUUAGAGGUGAAAGCCUGGGGCUCAACCCCAGAAUUGCCUUUAAGACUGCAUCGCUUGAAUCCAGGAGAGGUGAGUGGAAUUCCGAGUGUAGAGGUGAAAUUCGUAGAUAUUCGGAAGAACACCAGUGGCGAAGGCGGCUCACUGGACUGGUAUUGACGCUGAGGCUCGAAAGCGUGGGGAGCAAACAGG